GUAUGUCAAACACUUACGGACAUAACGCGCACUUCCGGUGGAGCACUUGACCUCCCGGUGUCCUGUUGGAAAAGCGGUGCUGUUCGCCGGUACCGCCGCGCUGUGACUGGACGCAAGGACACUGCUCACUUUAUUCUCACCACGAUGGUUCCACACUCCCAGCCCGUCUCACCUUGUAGAUGACUUUGGGCUCAAAGGAGCAGACGAUGCUGCUGUUGUACAGUACCGAGUGCUUCUUGUGCAAAGCUGAAAGAGCUGCUGCGGCCUGCCAAGGAAUGGACAGCCACAUGGUUAUUACAGGAUUGAGGACGCUUUUGGGUACGAUGUUUGGCUGCUGCAUCUGGAGGCCAGCUGGGGCCGGUCCAUCCAGGUUGGAACCUGCUACAUCCUGGGUUCUUUCCAUCCGGUGGCUCUGUCGAUCCGGCGCCGAGGGCUACUACAGUGCUGUCGAGCGUCAUGAGCCCUGGUUUUGGUCCGGCGUCGUGGCCUGCUUCUUCUGCCGACCUGUUGGGGACCACCGCGGCGAUCCACCUGGCUGACCCGGUAGCCCUGGAGCCUUCGGCCAUUGUGUUAUCCUGGAUCAGAGUCGGUCUUGUGACCAGCAGUUCCUGUUCCUCUCGUCGUGGGGCCACCGCAUUGAUACAUCUGCUUGGACCAGGAAGUAAGGAAGGUGCCUCUUUCUUUAGGUUCUGGUGCUGGGAAUUGUGUAUCCUGCUGUAGGCAGCUAGUCCAGUUUUUCAUGUGUUCUUUUCGCUUUGCUACUUCAAAGAGCUACAAAAUUGAGUUCCAGUUUAGAUGUCUAAUUCAAGGUCAAAUAUAGACUUGGAUAUUCCUGAUCUGUGCGGCAUCGUGUUUUCCUCCAUAACUUUUUUUACUCUUUUUAGCUUUGUUUCAUCCGUUGCGGAGCCAUGGAGACUCUAAUGAGCAUCAUGAUCGGUUAGUUCCUCAAAAAGGCACACACUGUGAACAUGACUUUUCCAGAUACGGUCCAAAUACCUACUGAAGAACUGAUUUUACCAUUGUUUACGUAUCUUUUUAGUCCUCAUGGCUUGAGAAGCGCUGGUCGAACCUAAAAUAUGUUCCUGUUAUGCCCCAACUAUUCGAGAAGGACUGGGUUAGGCAUAUUCAAUCAGCACCUUCAUCAAUCCUGGUUAAAAAAUAAAUGUUUCAUUGUUCUUUUGCUCCUAUUGUCAGCAAAUGUUCAACCUAACUCAGGUCCAGCUCUUAAGUGCUUGAGUACCCCUUGUGAUUUUAAAGGUAGCCCCAAGCUGAUGUAACAGUUGGUUGGGGGGCGCAUAAUAAAUGAAAAUAACAUAACAUAACAAAGGUAGAUCUGGACUUGGCAUUAUUCACCUAAAUGUUAGAAGUCUACUUCCCAAACUGGAUCUAGUGAGGAUCUGGGCUGAAUCUACUGAAACUAACAUAGUUGUCUGAAACCUGGCUUAGGAAAUCAAUCACAGAUAAAGAUAUUGCAAUUAAGGGCUAAAAUGUUUUUUGCUGUGACCGUCCUAGAAAAGGUGGCGGAAUUGCAACAAGCGGACUCACGAAUUUCACGCCCUUCUUUUCAUUCCGCUAUGGCACCAACACGCGCAGCUGCCCGUAAACACGCAUGUGCUGGCGAUUUAUCAAUGGCGAAAAAAUG